rnacentral:rRNA from 1 species
UACGAGGGGGGCGAGCGUUGUUCGGAAUUAUUGGGCGUAAAGGGUGCGUAGGCGGUUUGGUAAGUCUGAUGUGAAAUCUAUGGGCUCAACUCAUAGUCUGCAUCGGAAACUGCCGGGCUUGAGUAUGGGAGAGGCGAGUGGAAUUCCUGGUGUAGCGGUGAAAUGCGUAGAUAUCAGGAGGAACACCUGUGGCGAAAGCGGCUCACUGGACCAUAACUGACGCUGAUGCACGAAAGCUAGGGGAGCAAACAGG